rnacentral:misc_RNA from 1 species
GUGAAUCAUCAAAUUUUUGAACGCAAAUUGCGCUUCCUGGUAUCCCGGGAAGUAUGCCUGUUUGAGGGUCAGUAUUAACAAAAAAUCGUUUUGGGUGCAAAUUGUGAUGUUUCUGGAGUUUGUGCUGAUUUUAACUUUUUUGGUUAAGGGGCUUAAAAUUGACCUUUUUUGCGCAUUUUUAGAGGACCAUAAAUUUUUUUUA